UCAUCCGUGAGGAGGGCUUCUUCACGGAGUGGAAACAAGGAAACACGUCCAACGAGAAGCCGAGA
rnacentral:ncRNA from 1 species